rnacentral:rRNA from 1 species
AUUUCCGAAUGGGGAAACCCAGUGUGUUUCGACACACUAUCAUUAACUGAAUCCAUAGGUUAAUGAGGCGAACCGGGGGAACUGAAACAUCUAAGUACCCCGAGGAAAAGAAAUCAACCGAGAUUCCCCCAGUAGCGGCGAGCGAACGGGGAGCAGCCCAGAGCCUGAAUCAGUGUGUGUGUUAGUGGAAGCGUCUGGAAAGGCGCGCGAUACAGGGUGACAGCCCCGUACACAAAAAUGCACAUGCUGUGAGCUCGAUGAGUAGGGCGGGACACGUGGUAUCCUGUCUGAAUAUGGGGGGACCAUCCUCCAAGGCUAAAUACUCCUGACUGACCGAUAGUGAACCAGUACCGUGAGGGAAAGGCGAAAAGAACCCCGGCGAGGGGAGUGAAAAAGAACCUGAAACCGUGUACGUACAAGCAGUGGGAGCACGCUUAGGCGUGUGACUGCGUACCUUUUGUAUAAUGGGUCAGCGACUUAUAUUCUGUAGCAAGGUUAACCGAAUAGGGGAGCCGAAGGGAAACCGAGUCUUAACUGGGCGUUAAGUUGCAGGGUAUAGACCCGAAACCCGGUGAUCUAGCCAUGGGCAGGUUGAAGGUUGGGUAACACUAACUGGAGGACCGAACCGACUAAUGUUGAAAAAUUAGCGGAUGACUUGUGGCUGGGGGUGAAAGGCCAAUCAAACCGGGAGAUAGCUGGUUCUCCCCGAAAGCUAUUUAGGUAGCGCCUCGUGAAUUCAUCUCCGGGGGUAGAGCACUGUUUCGGCAAGGGGGUCAUCCCGACUUACCAACCCGAUGCAAACUGCGAAUACCGGAGAAUGUUAUCACGGGAGACACACGGCGGGUGCUAACGUCCGUCGUGAAGAGGGAAACAACCCAGACCGCCAGCUAAGGUCCCAAAGUCAUGGUUAAGUGGGAAACGAUGUGGGAAGGCCCAGACAGCCAGGAUGUUGGCUUAGAAGCAGCCAUCAUUUAAAGAAAGCGUAAUAGCUCACUGGUCGAGUCGGCCUGCGCGGAAGAUGUAACGGGGCUAAACCAUGCACCGAAGCUGCGGCAGCGACGCUUAUGCGUUGUUGGGUA